rnacentral:rRNA from 1 species
GAGGAGCCUGCGGCUGAUUAGCUAGUUGGUGGGGUAAAAGCCUACCAAGGCCGUGAUCAGUAGCUGGUCUGAAGGAUGGACAGCCACACUGGACUGAGAUACGGCCCAGACUCCUACGGGAGGCAGCAGCAAGGAAUUUUCGGCAAUGGGGGAAACCCUGACCGAGCAACGCCGCGUGGGCGAUGAAGUCCUUCGGGAUGUAAAGCCCUUUUGUGUGAGACGGUAUCACACGAAUAAGCAUCGCUAACUACGUGCCAGCAGCCGCGGUAAUACGUAAUGCAAGCGUUGUCCGGAAUUAUUGGGCGUAAGGGCGUGUAGCGGCUCAUCAAGUCAGAUGUGAAUAACUCGGCUAAACCGGGUGGGUCAUUUGAAACUGAUGGCUAGAGUAAUGUAGAGGAAGCGGAAUCCCGGUGUAGUGUGAAAUGCGUAGAUAUCGGAAGGAACACCAGUGGAUCACAGUGAAUUCGC